rnacentral:rRNA from 1 species
AUUGAACGCUGGCGGCAGGCCUAACACAUGCAAGUCGAGCGAGCGGCGGACGGGUGAGUAAUGUAUGGGGACUGCCCGAUAGAGGGGGAUAACUACUGGUAACGGUGGCUAAUACCGCAUACUAUCGGAUAACCCAUAUGGGAUUAGCUAGUCUGUGGGGUAAAGGCUCACCUAGGCGACGAUCUCUAGCUGGUCUGAGAGGAUGAUCAGCCACACUGGGACUGAGAAACGGCCGAGCCUCCUCCGGAGGCGGCAGUGGGGAGUGUUGCACAAUGGGCGCAAGCCUGAUGCAGACAUGCCGAGUGUAUGAAGAAGGGCUUAUGGUUGUAGAGUACGUUCAGUGGUGAGGCGUUACCCGCAGAAGAAGCACCGGCUAACUCCGUGCCAGCAGCCGCGGUAAUUC